GAUGAAGAACGUAGCGAAAUGCGAUAAGUAAUGUGAAUUGCAGAAUUCAGUGAAUCAUCGAAUCUUUGAACGCACAUUGCGCCCCUUGGUAUUCCGAGGGGCAUGCCUAUUCGAGCGUCAUUAUCACCCCUCAAGCCUAGCUUGGUGUUGAGGCCUGCUGUCAAGGCAGCCUCUAAAAUCAGUGGCAGUGCUGUCAGGCUCUAAGCGUAGUAAAUCUAAUCGCUAUAGACACCUGGUGGACACUCGCCAGAACCCCCCCAUUUUUUAAUGAUUGACCUCGGAUUAGGUAGGGAUACCCGCUGAACUUAAGCAUAUCAAUAAGCGGAGG
rnacentral:misc_RNA from 1 species